rnacentral:misc_RNA from 1 species
UAAAUUUCGGGGUCUUGGCCGCCUUGAUAUCGAUCGAAGCGCCAGUACGGGGAUUGCGGCCACUACGAGCAGCACGCUCACCCACGUAAAAAGUACCGAAACCGACCAAGCUAACUUCUUCACCUUUAGCCAGAGACGCCUUAAUGGA